rnacentral:other from 1 species
GCAGGGCUGUGAGGUUCGUCACCUAUACGACCCGGGGGCCUAUAAGACUCGCAUGGGAGCUGUCCCUGACUGGAACCCUGGUUCCGGACAUAUGGCGCCCACCUUACAAUUGUAGGGACCACGCGGGAUCAAACGGUACGGCCAUCGCGGCUCUGCA